rnacentral:rRNA from 1 species
AUUGAACGCUGGCGGCAUGCUUUACACAUGCAAGUCGAACGGUAACAGGGUGCUUGCACCGCUGACGAGUGGCGAACGGGUGAGUAAUGCGUCGGAACGUGCCGAGUAGUGGGGGAUAACGCAUCGAAAGGUGUGCUAAUACCGCAUACGUACUGAGGUAGAAAGUGGGGGACCUUCGGGCCUCACGCUAUUCGAGCGGCCGACGUCUGAUUAGCUAGUUGGUGAGGUAAAGGCUCACCAAGGCGACGAUCAGUAGCGGGUCUGAGAGGAUGCUCCGCCACACUGGGACUGUGACACGGCCCAGACUCCUACGGGAGGCAGCAGUGGGGAAUUUUGGACAAUGGGCGCAAGCCUGAUCCAGCCAUGCCGCGUGUCUGAAGAAGGCCUUCGGGUUGUAAAGGACUUUUGUCCGGGAGCAAAUACCCAGUGCUAAUAACGCUGGGGGCUGAGAGUACCGGAAGAAUAAGCACCGGCUAACUACGUGCCAGCCGCCGCAGUAA